rnacentral:rRNA from 1 species
GAUGAACGCUGGCGGCGUGCCUAAUACAUGCAAGUCGAGCGAACAGACGAGGAGCUUGCUCCUCUGACGUUAGCGGCGGACGGGUGAGUAACACGUGGAUAACCUACCUAUAAGACUGGGAUAACUUCGGGAAACCGGAGCUAAUACCGGAUAAUAUAUUGAACCGCAUGGUUCAAUAGUGAAAGACGGUUUUGCUGUCACUUAUAGAUGGAUCCGCGCCGCAUUAGCUAGUUGGUAAGGUAACGGCUUACCAAGGCAACGAUGCGUAGCCGACCUGAGAGGGUGAUCGGCCACACUGGAACUGGGACACGGUCCAGACUCCUACGGGAGGCAGCAGUAGGGAAUCUUCCGCAAUGGGCGAAAGCCUGACGGAGCAACGCCGCGUGAGUGAUGAAGGUCUUCGGAUCGUAAAACUCUGUUAUUAGGGAAGAACAAAUGUGUAAGUAACUAUGCACGCCUUGACGGUACCUAAUCAGAAAGCCACGGCUAACUACGUG